UACGUAGGGUGCAAGCGUUAAUCGGAAUUACUGGGCGUAAAGCGUGCGCAGGCGGUUCGCUAAGACAGAUGUGAAAUCCCCGGGCUUAACCUGGGAACUGCAUUUGUGACUGGCGGGCUAGAGUAUGGCAGAGGGGGGUAGAAUUCCACGUGUAGCAGUGAAAUGCGUAGAGAUGUGGAGGAAUACCGAUGGCGAAGGCAGCCCCCUGGGCUAACACUGACGCUCAUGCACGAAAGCGUGGGGAGCAAACAGG
rnacentral:rRNA from 1 species